CUUGGUCAUUUAGAGGAAGUAAAAGUCGUAACAAGGUUUCCGUAGGUGAACCUGCGGAAGGAUCAUUACAAAUCUUUGCGGGUGCUGCGUGCAUGUUUAUUGUGCGUAGUAUUUUGCACAUUAGCACAAGGUCGCAAGAUCUUGAUGUUUACGCUUGUUUGUUUGACAGAGUUAGUUGAGAAAAAAUAAAGACAACUUUUAACAAUGGAUCUCUUGGCUCUUGCAACGAUGAAGAACGCAGUAAAGUGCGAUAUGUAGUGCGAUUUGCAUGAAUCUGUGAGUCAUCUAAUCUUUGAACGCAACUUGCGCCUCUUACGAGGCAUGUUUGUUUGAGUGCCGUAAUUCUCUGCAGCAAUGCGAUUUGGCUCGUGUCUUUGUUGACCGAGUUUAAAGGAAGCUAGAGGAUGGUCAGUUUAGACUAGCCCGAGUGCUAAGCAUUCUUGGGUCUAGCGCUGGAUUGCUCAUUUCAUCUAUUUUUAUUUUUGGCCUCAAAUCAAGCAAGACUACCCGCUGAACUUAAGCAUAUCAAUAAGCGGAGGA
rnacentral:rRNA from 1 species